UACGUAGGGUGCAAGCGUUGUCCGGAAUUAUUGGGCGUAAAGAGCUCGUAGGCGGUCUGUCGCGUCGAAUGUGAAAACCCGGGGCUCAACCCCGGGCCUGCAUUCGAUACGGGCAGACUCGAGUUCGGUAGGGGAGUCUGGAAUUCCUGGUGUAGCGGUGAAAUGCGCAGAUAUCAGGAGGAACACCGGUGGCGAAGGCGGGACUCUGGGCCGAUACUGACGCUGAGGAGCGAAAGCGUGGGGAGCAAACAGG
rnacentral:rRNA from 1 species